UACGGAGGGUGCAAGCGUUAUCCGGAUUUACUGGGUUUAAAGGGUGCGUAGGUGGGCAGGAAAGUCGGUGGUGAAAUCUCCGGGCUUAACCCGGAAACUGCCAUUGAUACUAUUUGUCUUGAAUACUUUGGAGGUAAGCGGAAUAUGUCAUGUAGCGGUGAAAUGCUUAGAUAUGACAUAGAACACCAAUUGCGUAGGCAGCUUACUACUCGAUCAUUGACGCUGAGGCACGAAAGCGUGGGGAGCAAACAGG
rnacentral:rRNA from 1 species